rnacentral:misc_RNA from 1 species
CAUGUGCACACUUGUGCAUCUUUAUAUCUCCACCUGUGCACCUUUUGUAGAUCUGGAUAGCUUUCUGAAUGCCUAGCAUUUGGGUUUGAAGAUUGACUUUUCUGUCUUUCUUUACAUUUUCAGGUCUAUGUUUCUCCAUAUACCCCAAUGUAUGUUAUAGAAUGUAAUAAAUGGGCCUGGUUGCCUAUAAUUUAUACAACUUUCAGCAACGGAUCUCUUGGUUCUCGCAUCGAUGAAGAACGCAGCGAAAUGCGAUAAGUAAUGUGAAUUGCAGAAUUCAGUGAAUCAUCGAAUCUUUGAACGCACCUUGCGCUCCUUGGUAUUCCGAGGAGCAUGCCUGUUUGAGUGUCAUUAAUAUAUCAACCUCUUCAGCUUUGCUUGUUGAGUGUUGGAUGUGGGGGGGGGUGUUCUUUUUUUUGCUGGUCUCUUUUUUUGAGUUCAGCUCCCCUAAAAUAUAUUAGCGGGACAAUUUGUUGACCGUUCAUUGGUGUGAUAACUAUCUACGCUUUUGUACGUGAGGCAGAGUUCAGCUUAUAACAGUCCUAUUUUACUUGGUACUAACUUUUUGCAUUA